rnacentral:lncRNA from 12 species
GGGAGCUGGACUGGACCACCAAAACCUCAGAGUGACCAAAGAGCUCCUGGCAGAAGGGUUGGAGAUGUGGCCGCACUCGUUCAGAUCCCCGUGGAGCUGGUGACAGCAGCGUGUGCCUCGCUGCUGUGUCCAGAGAAACUGUAAAUCCAGAGGGAACAGGGCACAUCGGCACUGGGACACCUGAGAGGGAAAGUGAGUGUUGCUGGAGCCUGUUAGGG